rnacentral:lncRNA from 1 species
AACGAGCUGAUCCACAAGGAGAACACUGACGCACCAACUAACAGAGCUUCAGGGUAGUAAGGGAAAAGCUGCCAGACCUGGAAGAACCAGGGAAAAGCUGCCAGACCUGGAAGAACCACUCGAAAAUGUUUUCAAUAAUUUACACAACAGUUUGAAGAGAAAAUCGGCAACAGUGUGGAGAAUUUGCACAAUACUUCCAACAAAUCGGGAUGGAAGCUUUGACUUAACUGUGUCUGCUGUCCUCUUCAUUCGGCUGAGUUCGUCCUAAGUCACACCGACCUGCAUUUCAUGAGCGACUAGACCACUAGUCAUACAACAAUACCAACCUCCUUUGGAUCCUGGCCAGGGCUGUGUGGAUUCUCUCCCUGUACCGCUUGCACUUCUCCUUGGUGAUGUUGACGUGGAUCAAGCUCCCAUCCUUCCAGGGGACGUGGAUGAAUCUGUUGCAGUAUUUGGCAUGGAUAGUCUUCUUAUUGGUGUCCUGAGGGAAGGACAAAGUUGGGGGCUAGAGCGGGUCCUUAGAAACUCCCUUUGCUAAAACCAAAUAAAGACGACGCCUUGCUUGGGCUCCCAAGGUAACUAAAAACGGAAUAAAAUCUGCACAUCUCUGCC